rnacentral:rRNA from 1 species
UCUUCGGAGAGUUUGAUCCUGGCUCAGGAUGAACGCUGGCGGCGUGCCUAAUACAUGCAAGUCGAGCGAACAUCAUAGAAGCUUGCUUCUAUG